rnacentral:rRNA from 1 species
UGCAUCGAUGAAGAACGCAGGAAAUGCGAUACUCAAUGCGAUUUGCAGAAAUCGCGAGCCAUCGACACCUUGAACGCACGUGCGCCCGAGGCUUCUGCCGAGGGCACGCCCGCCUGAGCAUCA